GAUGAACGCUGGCGGCGUGCCUAAUACAUGCAAGUCGAGCGAACAGACGAGGAGCUUGCUCCUCUGACGUUAGCGGCGGACGGGUGAGUAACACGUGGAUCACCUACCUAUAAGACUGGGAUAACUUCGGGAAACCGGAGCUAAUACCGGAGAAUAUAUUGAACCGCAUGGUUCAAUAGUGAAAGACGGUUUUGCUGUCACUUAUAGAUGGUUCCGCGCCGCAUUAGCUAGUUGGUAAGGUAACGGCUUACCAAGGCAACGAUGCGUAGCCGACCUGAGAGGGUGAUCGGCCACACUGGAACUGAGACACGGUCCAGACUCCUACGGGAGGCAGCAGUAGGGAAUCUUCGACAAUGGGCGAAAGCCUGACGGAGCAACGCCGCGUGAGGGAUGAAGGUCUUCGGAUCGUAAAACUCUGUUAUUAGGGAAGAACAAAUGUUUAAGUAACUAUGCACGUCUUGACGGUACCUAAUCAGAAAGCCACGGCUAACUACGUG
rnacentral:rRNA from 1 species